rnacentral:lncRNA from 1 species
GGGGCCUACAAAAAAGAUAAAGGGAAGGGAAAGAAGUGCAAAGGAGAGCACCGAUUAUAUUAAUAGCGGCAUUAUAGUUUUGAUGAUAAGAAAGAUAUUAACUUAUUCUUUUAUCUACUUAUUUUAUAUAGAUUAUCAUUUUGAAAUGUAUACAUAAUAGUUGAUUAUGUUAUCUAAUUGAUUGCUUUUCUUUUUAGUUUGGCUUUUUGAGAGAAUAGGCAUAGAAAGGGCCUAUGACAGCACUUACUAUGGUAGCAGUUCGAAAACCACUGCUAUAG